GAUCCUGGCUCAGGAUGAACGCUAGCGGCAGGCUUAACACAUGCAAGUCGAGGGGCAGCGGGAUGUAGCAAUACAUUGCCGGCGACCGGCGGAUGGGUGCGUAACGCGUAUGCAACCUACCUUAUACAGGGGAAUAACCUUUCGAAAGGGAGACUAACACCCCAUAGUAUUGAUUUAAGGCAUCUUAGAUUAAUUAAUAUUUAUAGGUAUAAGAUGGGCAUGCGUAUGAUUAGCUAGUUGGUAAGGUAACGGCUUACCAAGGCGACGAUCAUUAGGGGUUCUGAGAGGAAGGUCCCCCACACUGGUACUGAGGCACGGACCAGACUCCUACGGGAGGCAGCAGUGAGGAAUAUUGGUCAAUGGGCGCAAGCCUGAACCAGCCAUGCCGCGUGCAAGGAAGACGGCCUUAUGGGUUGUAAACUGCUUUUACAUAAGACUAACCGUAUAUUUGCGAAUAUACCUGAAUGUAUUAUGAGAAUAAGGAUCGGCUAACUCCGUGCCAGCCGCCGC
rnacentral:rRNA from 1 species